rnacentral:rRNA from 1 species
GGAAUUUUGCGCAAUGGAGGAAACUCUGACGCAGCAACGCCAUGUGUGGGAUGAAGCAUUUCGGUGUGUAAACCACUGUCAGCAGGGAAUAAAAGGUCGCUUCGGCGGCACUUGAAUGUACCUGCAAAGGAAGCCCCGGCUAACUUCGUGCCAGCAGCCGCGGUAAUACGAGGGGGGCAAAUGUUGUUCGGAAUCACUGGGCGUAAAGGGAGCGUAGGCGGGCUUCUAAGUUAGAUGUUUAAUCCCGGGGCCCAACCCCGGACAGGCACCUAAAACUGGAAGUCUUGAGUAGUGGAGAGGACGGCGGAAUUGGGGGUGUAGCGGUGGAAUGCGUAGAGAUCCCCAAGAACACCAGUUGCGGAGGCGGCCGUCUGGACACAUAUUGACGCUGAGGCUCGAAAGCAUGGGGAGCAAACAGGAUUAGAUACCCUGGUAGUCCAUGCCAUAAACGAUGAUUACUAGGUUUUGGGCCCGUCAACGGUCCAGAGCCGCAGCUAACGCGUUAAGUAAUCCGCCG